CUUAGCUCUAUGCUUCUGGGAUUCCAUGCAGUUGUAGUUGGAUAUGAGCUCAGACACCUGGGACCCGGAGCCACAGGGGAGCUGAGCAGUUACUUCCUGGGAGGAGCUACUUCCAAAUAUAUGUGGUAUCAGCAUCUCAGAAAGCAGCCCUUCCAUGGCACGAACGGAUUUUGUCUAUACACAUCAGAUGUCGCUGCACUGAUUACAGCAUGAAGAGACCCCCCUUUCCUACCUCUCCUUUCCCAGGAGAUACUUUUCUAACCACUGGACCAUGGCCUUUCCCAUCAGUUGAAACCUCAUAGAAUGGAGACCUCCACGCAGUAUGUUUUCUGCAAAGUGAAAACUCCACUGUCUGUUGCUUGCUUCUCAAGUCUCCUUCUUGGGUUUAUCCUUUUAUAGACAUCUGAUCAUGUGAUAGAAAGCUGGAAGAACAUAAGAGAAAGGGGUAGUCUGGCAGGACC